rnacentral:rRNA from 1 species
GAUGAACGCUAGCGGCAGGCCUAAUACAUGCAAGUCGAACGGUGUAGCAAUACACAGUGGCGCACGGGUGCGUAACACGUAUGCAACCCACCUUACAUUGGGGGAUAGCCUUUCGAAAGGGAGAUUAAUACCGCAUAAGACAGUAACUAGGCAUCUAGUAGCUGUUAAAUAUUUAUCGAUGUAAGCUGGGCAUGCGUCCAAUUAGUUAGUUGGCGAGGUAAUGGCUCACCAAGACGAUGAUUGGUAGGGGAACUGAGAGGUCAAUCCCCCACACUGGCACUGAGAUACGGGCCAGACUCCUACGGGAGGCAGCAGUAGGGAAUAUUGGGCAAUGGGCGCAAGCCUGACCCAGCCAUGCCGCGUGCAGGAAGAAGGCGUUAUGCGUUGUAAACUGCUUUUAUACAGGAAGAAACGACCCUUGCGAGGGGCAUUGACGGUACUGUAUGAAUAAGCACCGGCUAACUCCGUGCCAGCAGCCGCAGUAAGAC